rnacentral:sRNA from 1 species
AGGAUGAAGGCCAGCCGCCUUAGCAUCGGCAA